rnacentral:rRNA from 1 species
UGGUGACUAUAGCAAGGAGGUCACACCUGUUCCUAUGCCGAACACAGAAGUUAAGCUCCUUAGCGUCGAUGGUAGUCGAACUUACGUUCCGUUAGAGUAGAACGUUGCCAGGCA